rnacentral:ncRNA from 4 species
AUGUAUGUGUGCAUGUGCAUG